GGUGGCUUAGUGGUUAAGCACUCAGCUGCUAACUGAAAGGUCGAUGGUUCAAACCCACCAGCCACCC
rfam:Loxodonta africana unplaced genomic scaffold scaffold_7, whole genome shotgun sequence.